AAUGGAGGCUGGAUGAUUCUUAA
rnacentral:piRNA from 1 species